rnacentral:rRNA from 1 species
UACGUAGGUGGCGAGCGUUGUCCGGAUUUACUGGGCGUAAAGAGCGCGCAGGCGGCUGGUCAAGUCCGAUGUGAAAGCCCCCGGCUCAACUGGGGAGGGUCACUCGAUACUGAUCGACUUGAAGGCAGGAGAGGGAAGCGGAAUUCCCGGUGUAGUGGUGAAAUGCGUAGAUAUCGGGAGGAACACCAGUGGCGAAGGCGGCUUCCUGGCCUGUUCUUGACGCUGAGGCGCGAAAGCUAGGGGAGCAAACGGG